CGGAUUGUAGUCUGCAACUCGACUACAUGAAGCUGGAAUCGCUGGUAAUCGCGAAUCAGAAUGUCGCGGUGAAUACGUUCCCGGGUCUUGUACACACCGCCCGUCACACCAUGGGAGUCGGGAAUGCCCGAAGUCAGUGACCCAACCGGAAGGAGGGAGCUGCCGAAGGCAGGCUCGAUAACUGGGGUGAAGUCGUAACAAGGUACC
rnacentral:rRNA from 1 species